UACAGAGGUCUCAAGCGUUGUUCGGAAUUACUGGGCGUAAAGGGUGGGCAGGCCGCGCGGGCAGUCAAAUGUGUAAUCCAGGGGCUCAACCCCUGAACUGCGCUUGAUACUUCCGCGCUAGAACCUUGGAGAGGAGUCUGGAAUUCUCGGUGUAGCAGUGAAAUGCGUAGAUAUCGAGAAGCACACUUAGGGCGAAGGCAAGACUCUGGACAAGUGUUGACGCUCAUGCACGAAGGCCAGGGUAGCGAACGGG
rnacentral:rRNA from 1 species